rnacentral:rRNA from 1 species
AAACCAACUGGGAUUACCUUAGUAACGGCGAGUGAAGCGGUAAAAGCUCAAAUUUGAAAUCUGGUACUUUCAGUGCCCGAGUUGUAAUUUGUAGAAUUUGUCUUUGAUUUGGUCCUUGUCUAUGUUCCUUGGAACAGGACGUCAUAGAGGGUGAGAAUCCCGUUUGGCGAGGAUACCAUUUCUUUGUAAAACUUUUUCGAAGAGUCGAGUUGUUUGGGAAUGCAGCUCAAAGUGGGUGGUAAAUUCCAUCUAAAGCUAAAUAUUGGCGAGAGACCGAUAGCGAACAAGUACAGUGAUGGAAAGAUGAAAAGAACUUUGAAAAGAGAGUGAAAAAGUACGUGAAAUUGUUGAAAGGGAAGGGCAUUUGAUCAGACAUGGUGUUUUUUGCAUGCACUCGCCUCUCGUGGGCUUGGGCCUCUCAAAAAUUUCACUGGGCCAACAUCAGUUUUGGCGGUAGGAUAAAUCAUUAGGAACGUAGCUUCUUCGGGAGUUUAUAGCCUAGUGGAAUACUAUCAGCCGGGACUGAGGACUGCGCUUUAUGCAAGGAUGUUGGCAUAAUGGUUAAAUGCCGC